AACCCUUUGGGGACAUCCGAUAAAAUUGGAAUGACACAGAGAAGAUUAGUGUGGAUUCUGCGCAAGGAUGACCAAUACAAACCUUAUUUUG
rnacentral:snRNA from 1 species